AACUUCUAGAGCGCAUGCGUUUCGCCCACCCAGGCCCGGGCGCGGUUAGGGGUGACUCCCACGAUCCCUAGCGGCUGCAGAGUGGAACAUGGCGGCCUCCUUGCCGCUUGCGUUACCAGAGUCCACCCGGCCUCGUGCUUUCUCCGGGCGCCCGUAGCUGGCGCCGGCAUCCACAAAAAUAGAUCAGACAGAGGAUGAAUAAAGAGGAAGCUCCAGGCUGUGAAGCGUCUAGUCCUUGCUCCCCUCAGAAGCUGGGACAUGUUGGACCAAGGUGGUAAGGAUAGUGAGUUUCCCAGAAGCUGGACAAGCCACGACGGCGCCUUCCAAUAAAAGGGGAACUCCAGAGACGCUAUGAGAAAAGAGGAACAGACAUCUGCAAUAGAUAUCUGCAACUUCCUUUUCAAAAACACCAUCGGCAUUGCUUUCUCAGGAAGCCACUGCCAGCCUAUUGUGAUAGCUGACACUGAGUUCCUGAGAAUUCUCUAAUUAGGAUCCCAGAUUGGAGGGUCAGCCAGUGGUUAACAUAUAAUGGACACAAAACUGAUUUUACUGGAAGACUGAGGGUGGGCACUCACCAUGGUUCUAAGCAUUCAUUACUCAGAAGAUCCAUAAAAACAUUACAGUUCUGUUGUGUAAGAGUUUAGGAAAAAAAGAAAAUCCUGACAAAAAUCCCAACCUAAAAAACAGUGUCAACAUUUGUAAGUAGGAUGGGGAGGCAGAGAUGAAUUGGCAGUGUUAUCACAGCUACUGGACUAUGUGGACUUUAACAAAGUAAGAAACGGGUGGGGGUUGGGUGGUGGUAUCUUAAUAGAGCAGGAGUAGAGACGGAUGUCCUGGGGCAGAAUGGGUACCAAUGCUGCCUGAAGCCUGGAGCUGGGAGCUGAGGACUAAGAGGUAGACAGGAGGGUGGGGACCGGUACCUGCUCCAAGGAACUGGUGCCCCAGAACUGGUGAGCUGGGGUAUGCAUUUAGCUCAUUCGUUUACCAGAAUGCAGUCACCACCUGAUGAAAGAAAUGACUAAUGGCAGGACUUGAACAGUUCUCUAUAAAUGAGUACCUGGGAGAAAAACAGGUCUCCAGGCUCCACAAUACCCAAUAAACACACUGCCUUUAGCCCACUUCAAGCUGCACUUCUUACAUGGAACCCAACCCAACCAACCUCAGAGGUAAGGGUGAGAGCAGGCAAUGAACAGCUAUGAUUCUCCAUUCCCUGGCCAGGCAGGGAGCCUUUCCAUCCACCCUCGUGAGACUGCUUGUAACAGAAAUAAGGAAACCGACUCCAAGGCUCAGUAACCCACCCAAGGUCAGAACCACGGAGUGGCAGGGCCUGUGAGCCACAAAGGAGACUGAAAACCAGAAAGAGCUUCUCUCUGGUCUGUUAUUUUAAGAAAAACAUGCCCAGAGGGGCCACCUGGAAGCAAGGCUGUGUGGCACCCUCACCUUCCUAAUUAAACAACAACUUCCCAGGAGCAACGACAGCAACAACAGCCUGGCCCAGCAGAUGAACUCGAAUCAAUCCAAGCCCUUCCCCUAUACGGGUCAGUUUGGGCACUACUUUACCUGCUGUGAAGUCUACUGGGAUCUUCCAGGAAAGUCCCACCUCAUUAGUAAAAAGAAAAACAAAGACUCGGGAAGAAAGUUCCUGCCCUCCCUGUUGAAUGCUGUGUGAGGAUAAGAUGUCUGGAGCAUGGCAGUCACCCUGUGACUAUCAGAAGGCCAGGCGUACCACAAGGUGGUCAUUCCAGUGCUCUGAAUCAGCCCCAAACCACUUCCCUCAAGACUCAUGUUCUGAGGUGAUUAAAAGUGUGCUUUGAAGGUAAAUCUAGGAUGACAGUCAACAGAUCAGUGAUUGCCAGGAGUCAGGGGUAGAGGGAGGGAAGAACAGAUGGAGCACAGAGAAUUUUUAGGGCAGUGAAAAUGUUCUGUAUGAUACUAUAUAUAAUGGAUACAUGCCAUUAUACACUUGUCCAAAUGCACAGAAUGUACACCACCAAGAGUGAACCCUAAUGUAAACUAUGGACUUUGGGUGAUCAUGAUGUGUCAAUGCAGGUUCGUCAAUUGCAACACACGUACCAUUCUAGUGGGGGGUGUUGAUAACAGGAGGCUAUGCAUGUGUGGGACCAGGGGAUAUAUGGGAAAUCUCUGUACAUGCCUCUCAAUUUUGCUGAGAAUCUGAAACUGCUCUUAAUGAAGUCUUACAAAAAUAAAGAAGUCUGCUUUGCCUUAAAAAAAAAAAAAAAAAAAAAAAAAAAAAAA
rnacentral:lncRNA from 1 species